rnacentral:misc_RNA from 1 species
GAUGAAGAACGUAGCGAAAUGCGAUAAGUAAUGCGAAUUGCAGAAUUCCAGUGAGUCAUCGAAUCUUUGAACGCACAUUGCGCCCUUUGGUAUUCCAAAGGGCAUGCCUGUUCGAGCGUCAUUUGUACCCUCAAGCUUUGCUUGGUGUUGGGCGUCUUGUCUCUAGCUUUGCUGGAGACUCGCCUUAAAGUAAUUGGCAGCCGGCCUACUGGUUUCGGAGCGCAGCACAAGUCGCACUCUCUAUCAGCAAAGGUCUAGCAUCCAUUAAGCCUUUUUUUCAACUUUUGACCUCGGAUCAGGUAGGGAUACCCGCUGAACUUAAGCAUAUCAAUAAGCGGAGGA